GAAACGGUAGCUAAUACCGCAUAACGUCGCAAGACCAAAGAGGGGGACCUUAGGGCCUCUUGCCAUCGGAUGUGCCCAGAUGGGAUUAGCUAGUAGGUGGGGUAACGGCUCACCUAGGCGACGAUCCCUAGCUGGUCUGAGAGGAUGACCAGCCACACUGGAACUGAGACACGGUCCAGACUCCUACGGGAGGCAGCAGUGGGGAAUAUUGCACAAUGGGCGCAAGCCUGAUGCAGCCAUGCCGCGUGUAUGAAGAAGGCCUUCGGGUUGUAAAGUACUUUCAGCGGGGAGGAAGGGAGUAAAGUUAAUACCUUUGCUCAUUGACGUUACCCGCAGAAGAAGCACCGGCUAACUCCGUGCCAGCAGCCGCGGUAAUACGGAGGGUGCAAGCGUUAAUCGGAAUUACUGGGCGUAAAGCGCACGCAGGCGGUUUGUUAAGUCAGAUGUGAAAUCCCCGGGCUCAACCUGGGAACUGCAUCUGAUACUGGCAAGCUUGAGUCUCGUAGAGGGGGGUAGAAUUCCAGGUGUAGCGGUGAAAUGCGUAGAGAUCUGGAGGAAUACCGGUGGCGAAGGCGGCCCCCUGGACGAAGACUGACGCUCAGGUGCGAAAGCGUGGGGAGCAAACAGGAUUAGAUACCCUGGUAGUCCACGCCGUAAACGAUGUCGACUUGGAGGUUGUGCCCUUGAGGCGUGGCUUCCGGAGCUAACGCGUUAAGUCGACCGCCUGGGGAGUACGGCCGCAAGGUUAAAACUCAAAUGAAUUGACGGGGGCCCGCACAAGCGGUGGAGCAUGUGGUUUAAUUCGAUGCAACGCGAAGAACCUUACCUGGUCUUGACAUCCACGGAAGUUUUCAGAGAUGAGAAUGUGCCUUCGGGAACCGUGAGACAGGUGCUGCAUGGCUGUCGUCAGCUCGUGUUGUGAAAUGUUGGGUUAAGUCCCGCAACGAGCGCAACCCUUAUCCUUUGUUGCCAGCGGUCCGGCCGGGAACUCAAAGGAGACUGCCAGUGAUAAACUGGAGGAAGGUGGGGAUGACGUCAAGUCAUCAUGGCCCUU
rnacentral:rRNA from 1 species